AAAUUGAAGAGUUUGAUCAUGGCUCAGAUUGAACGCUGGCGGCAGGCCUAACACAUGCAAGUCGAACGGUAACAGGAAGCAGCUUGCUGCUUCGCUGACGAGUGGCGGACGGGUGAGUAAUGUCUGGGAAACUGCCUGAUGGAGGGGGAUAACUACUGGAAACGGUGGCUAAUACCGCAUAACGUCGCAAGACCAAAGAGGGGGACCUUCGGGCCUCUUGCCAUCAGAUGUGCCCAGAUGGGAUUAGCUUGUUGGUGAGGUAACGGCUCACCAAGGCGACGAUCCCUAGCUGGU
rnacentral:rRNA from 3 species